ACUGGUUAUAGGGAUGACAUACUUGCCCUCACUGACAUGAUAGUUUGGUGAUGAGAAUCUCGCUCUUUAUACUCAUCAGU
ensembl:snoRNA small nucleolar RNA SNORD103/SNORD85